AAGGUUUUAGCUUAAUGAAAGUAUCUGAGUUGCAUUCAGAAGAUGUGAGAUAGAGUCUUGCAAAUCUUA
rnacentral:tRNA from 1 species